rnacentral:rRNA from 1 species
UGCGUAGGCGGUUUGUUAAGUCACAGGUGAAAGUUUUCGGCCCAACCGGAAAAUUGCCUGCGAUACUGGCGAACUUGAGUGCGUGAGGGGUAGGGGGAACGAGCAGUGUAGCGGUGAAAUGCGUAGAUAUUGCUCGGAAGGCCGGAGCCGAAGGGGCCCUACUGGUGCGCAACUGACGCUGAUGCACGAAAGCGUGGGGAGCAAACG